rnacentral:lncRNA from 1 species
GCAAGGAAUUCAAAGCAUUGUCAGUAAUUGAAGACGAAAGACGGACAAAGUUUACUUCAAUGCAGAAAGCAACUGCACUGAGGGAACUUUACACAGCAACCAUUUCAGAGUUGAACUCUUGAUGUUAUACAAACCCUGGUGGAUUUGGUAAUUGGACCUGAAAGGAGCAAGAGGCUGGAGCAACCUUUUGUGGAUCCAGCUGAGGUCAGGUAUGUACCUUAAACUAUCCUUAGCAUUCCCUUGAGUGUAACAUUUGAGCCCAAAGUACAAUCCAGUAAUUGAAUUGGUUCAUGGCCAGUCACUUACUUGAUGGUAAAAUCAAAGUCUUCCCAUCCAAGUCCUAGAACAAGCUGGACCUUAAAUAGCUUAUGACUCCAG